GAUAAACGCUGGCGGCGCACAUAAGACAUGCAAGUCGAACGGACAGAAACCUUAGUUUACUAUGGUGGAUGUUAGUGGCGGACUGGUGAGUAACACGUAAGCAACCUGCCUAUCAGAGGGGAACAACAGUUAGAAAUGACUGCUAAUACCGCAUAUGCCUAAGUACCACAUGGUACAAUAGGGAAAGGAGCAAUCCGCUGAUAGAUGGGCUUGCGUCUGAUUAGAUAGUUGGUGGGGUAACGGCCUACCAAGUCGACGAUCAGUAGCCGGACUGAGAGGUUGAACGGCCACAUUGGGACUGAGAUACGGCCCAGACUCCUACGGGAGGCAGCAGUGGGGAAUAUUGGGCAAUGGGCGAAAGCCUGACCCAGCGACGCCGCGUGAGGGAAGACGGUCUUCGGAUUGUAAACCUUUGUCAACAGGGAAGAAACAAAUGACGGUACCUGUGGAGGAAGCCACGGCUAACUACGUG
rnacentral:rRNA from 1 species